UUCCGGUUGAUCCUGCCGGACCCGACUGCUAUCGGAUUUGUCUAGCCCAUGCGAGUCAACCCGCAAGGGUGGCGGACGGCUCAGUCUCCGUAGUCAACCUGCCCUGAGGACGUGGAUAUCCACUGGAAACUGUGGUUAAACCGCCAUAGGUCAUCCCUUCUGGAACGGGCGAUGGCUCACAUCUACAUGGCCUCCGGAUGGGACUGCCGCCGAUCAGGUUGUUGGCGGGGUAAUGGCCCACCAAGCCUAUAACCGGUACGGGCUCUGAGAGGAGGAGCCCGGAGAUGGGCACUGAGACAAGGGCCCAGGUCCUAUGGGGCGCAGCAGGCGCGAAACCUUCUCGAUAGGCGAAAGCCUGACGAGGUUAAUCCGAGUGGUUCCUGCUAAAGGAACCUUUUGCCAUCUGUAAAAAGGCUGGUGAAUAACGAGUGGGCAAGCCUGUUGUCUUCCGCCGCGGUAAUACCACCACCCCGAGUGGUCCGGAUGAUUAUUGGGCCUAAAGCAUCCGUAACCGGUUCUGCAAGUCUCCCGUUAAAUCCACCUGCUCAACAGUUGGGCUGCAGGAGAUACUGUACGACUCUGAUGCGGCAGAGGCGAGGGGUAUUCCUUGCGUAGGGCUAAAAUCCUUUGAUCCAUGGACGAACACCAGUGGCGAAAGCGCCUCGCCAGAACGCGCUCCACGGUGAGGGAUGAAAGCUGGCAGAGCAAACCUGAUUAGAUACCCAGGUAAUCCCAGCUGUAAACGAUGCACGCUCACUGAUGGACUGGCAACCAGCCAUUCCAGUGCAUCUCGGAAUCCUUUAAGCCUGCCGACUGCGGAGUACGGACGCGUCACUGAAACUUAAAGGAAUUGGCGGGGGAGCACCACACGAUGCGAUGCCUGCCGUGCACUUGGAUUCACGCCGGAA
rnacentral:rRNA from 1 species